GUUAGAAAAACCAAACUCAAGCUUUUUUUUCGGAUAAUUUUACAAGGCAAAUGCGUCUUCCCAGAAGCCAAGUGAGGGCCCGUGGGAGGACGGAAGCGGUUUCAGCUGUGCCCCAGGGCCUGGCUGGGAGUCUGCACCGUGGCUGAGCACAUGGCCGGCUGGGUGUGGUCCACCAUAGGUCCCCUUGGGAGACAGGCCUGUGUCCCGCACACAAGGAAAGCCUUUGUCCUUGCUCUGUCCUGCCCCAGGAGGCUGUGCCACUGCCCCCAAGCGGCGUGGGGGUCGCCCAGGGACGUCGGGGCACGUGUGCCUCACAGCACUUCCUGCCUGCGCCGCUGCAGGUGUUCACACUGGCCCCCCGACCCCGGCGCUGGGCUCCCGUUCACCAGGUGCUUCCGGUAGGGCCUCGGCCCUCGUGUGCAGCCUGACUCCUGAGUUCUGGCUCCUUUGCUCGCGCAGGUUCCUUGAGAAGAAAGUAGAUGCUUCAGAUAAACUCAGUAGAUAGGCUGUUUUCAAACGUCGUGACUUUGCCACUUUGAUUUCCUUUUCUUCUCAGUGUGUGUCUGUGUGCCUGCGUGUGUGUCAUAUCGGUCAGGCAUGUCUGUGUCUGUGUGUCUGCCGUAUGCCUGCGCGUGUCACAUGUCAUGCGUGUCUGUCGUGUGUCUGCCAUGUCUGUGUCAUAUUUGUCAAGCUUGGUGUGUCUGCCAUGUGCUCGAGUAUGCCUAGGGGGGUGCCACGCUUGCCCAGCUGGGGGGCUGUGUGUGGUGGGAGGCAUUCUGGAGCCAUCUUUUUGGGCAGAGUGGCCGUGGUGGGAGCCACAGAUGGAUCUCGUGUUGCGUUGACUGACUGUGACUGUCCUGUACGUCGCAGACUGUCUUGAUGGGCCACGUGACUGUGCCUGCAGGGCCUGGAUCCUUCCACCACUGUGGUUAGAAACGGGUUGCUUGGACAGAUAGGAGCUCAGAACCCAAGUCUGACAGUAUUCUGUGUACACGUGGCACGUAACUGGUGCUCGAAACAUCGCUGCUACAGCUUUGCUGAGGCCAGUCUCCUAGGUGUGGUGGUACUUGAGCUAAAACUGUCUGGAUGCCCUUUCUCUCUUUCUUAGAUUUAUUUAUUUGAGAGAGUGAGCGAGACAGAGCACACAAGCAGGGGAGAGGGCAGAGCAGGAGCCCGACAUGGGGCUCGAUCCCAGGACUCCAGGUUCAUGACCUGAGCCGGAGGCAGUCACUGAACCGACUGGGUCGCCCAGGCACCCCAGGAUGGUAUUUCUGU
rnacentral:lncRNA from 1 species